rnacentral:lncRNA from 1 species
UCGUAAGUUUAGCCACCAAAUAUAUGCUUAGCCGCUGCUGCAACCUCACCACUUAACCAUACCUCACCCAUUAAGGUUUGCUAGUCUUGAUACCUUUGGAAAUGAGAUUGCUGAGUCCCCUGUGGCUCACAGAUUACUACAACACCAGUUGCAGGUACAAGUAAAGGUUAUUGACGCGAGCGCGUUGAUUGUUCAUUUGGAGUUGCUUCUUCUUCUUCUUCUCGAUCUAGGGUGGGUUCCAGGCCGGCAGCCUGGGAUAGCAAGGAUGGACGUCGUUCUUAUUUUCCCGUUUGUUUUCGUCCGUAGUCGGACCCUGCUCUUACUCUUGAUGAUUNNNNNNNNNNGACUUGAAGUUAAUUAAUUAAAAUAUGCCAACUGUGUGCGUAACCGUGACUGUCUCUUUCGUGAGUUCCUUCUCCGAUCGAGGACACGGUGGGGUUAUGUUUGACAUAGGUAGGUGUUUAGGAUCAUUCUUUUGAUCACGAGUAGUUCACGUCCGUUAUGCGUAGAUCUUCCCCCUCUUAUUUCUGGUACUCGUAAGUUUAGCCACCAAAUAUAUGCUUAGCCACUGCUGCAACCUCACCACUUAUCCAUGCCUCACCCAUUAAGCUUUGCUAGUCUUGAUACCUUUGGAAAUGAGAUUGCUGAGUCCCCUGUGGCUCACAGAUUACUACAACACUAGUUGCAGGUACAGAUAAAGGUUACUUGACGCAAGCGCGUUGAUUGUUCAUUUGGAGUUGCUUCUUCUUCUUCUUCUUCUUCGAUCUAGGAUGGGUUCCAUGCCGGGCAGCCUGGGAUAGCAAGGAUGGACGUCAUUCUUCUUUUGUCGUUUGUUUUCGUCCGUAGUCGGACCCUGCUCUUACUCUUGAUGAUUAUGUAAUGUACUGAUGUGACUCUGAUGUAGCU